rnacentral:sRNA from 1 species
AAUCAAAUGAAAGGAGGUGGUCCAGUGUCUAGAAUGAUGGUGGAGUAUGAGGUCGGAACAGUCAUGGGGGCCAUCGCCUGAGGGCAAACCCUGAGGUGACAGAACCCUGAUUGGGCGCCGCUCUAACCGGGCCCAUCUCCAAAACAUUCGAAGGGCUGUCGGUUUCCGGCAGCCCU